GACGAACCGUGCGACCGUUGUUCGGAAUCACUGGGCUUAAAGGGCGCGUAGGCGGCUCGCGAGGUCGGGGGUGAAAUCCCGCAGCUUAACUGCGGAAGGGCCUCCGAUACCGGCGGGCUGGAGGAAGGUAGGGGUGCGCGGAACUUCUGGUGGAGCGGUGAAAUGCGUUGAUAUCAGAAGGAACGCCGGCGGCGAAAGCGGCGCACUGGACCUUUUCUGACGCUGAGGCGCGAAAGCUAGGGGAGCAAACGGG
rnacentral:rRNA from 1 species